rnacentral:rRNA from 1 species
AGUGAACGCUGGCGGCAGGCCUAACACAUGCAAGUCGAGCGGCAGCGCAGCAGUAGCAAUACUGUGGGCGGCGAGCGGCGGACGGGUGAGGAAUACAUCGGAAUCUACCUUCUUGUGGGGGAUAACGUAGGGAAACUUACGCUAAUACCGCAUAAGACCUGAGGGUGAAAGCGGGGACCGCAAGGCCUCGCGCGAGAAGAUGAGCCGAUGUCGGAUUAGCUAGUUGGUGGGGUAAAGGCUCACCAAGGCGACGAUCCGUAGCUGGUCUGAGAGGAUGAUCAGCCACACUGGAACUGAGACACGGUCCAGACUCCUACGGGAGGCAGCAGUGGGGAAUAUUGGACAAUGGGCGCAAGCCUGAUCCAGCCAUGCCGCGUGUGUGAAGAAGGCCUUCGGGUUGUAAAGCACUUUUGUUGGGGAAGAAAAGAUCUGGGUUAAUAACCCGGGUUCAUGACGGUACCCAAAAGAAUAAGCACCGGCUAACUUCGUGCCAGCAGCCGCGGUAAUACGAAGGGUGCAAGCGUUACUCGGAAUUACUGGGCGUAAAGCGUGCGUAGGCGGUUUGUUAAGUCUGCCGUGAAAGCCCCGGGCUCAACCUGGGAAUUGCGGUGGAUACUGGCAGGCUAGAGUGCGGUAGAGGGUGGUGGAAUUCCCGGUGUAGCAGUGAAAAUGCGUAGAGAUCGGGAGGAACAUCUAUGGCGAAGGCAGCCACCUGGGACCAGCACUGACGCUGAGGCACGAAAAGCGUGGGGGAGCAAAACAGGAUUAGAUACCCUGGUA